rnacentral:lncRNA from 1 species
AGCUAACAAAGCCGGGUAUAUUAAUCUUUGUAAUUCACUGCGUACUUGAACCGUCUGAAGGACAAGUUAAUGUGUGACUAGAUCGAAUUUUCAUCGGACUAUAAUAUUUCUACAAUAAUUGUACACAGUAAUGUAAAAGCUGAUUUCAAUCAUGGCAGAGUGGUUGCCCAGAAAAACGAAAAAAACCAAACGCAAACCUGAACCAAAUGCGAGAACAGAAAGACACACGAGAGAAGGAGAAGAAGCAUAUUACGGUGAGUCGUGUUAUAUUUAACAAUCUAUUAGUAACAACUAUUGUUUUUGACUAUGUUAUUAUUUUGAACAAUAUUUUUAUGCUGCAUACAUUAAAAGCUUGUGAAGUACUGUAAGAAUGUUUCGAUGUUUAAUCGAAUGGUAAAGCGUUGAUUCGAAUUUGGAAAAUUGUGACGCCCUUCAGAAGAAAAGAUCUGUUUUGAAAUGUUUAACAUUAAAAGUCAUUAACAUUAUUAACGUGUACAGUAAGUAACCGAUAAGUGUUUCCGAUUUUAAUGUUCGCCGUUUCGAAAUUUGGAAGCUUCCAUCUACAUAAACGUUCAUAUACAUAUAAUAUAUAUAUGUAUUGGGUUUCCUCUAUAUAUAUUUUUGUCUGCCUACCGGUUUAUUAUCCAAAUAUGAGUGUAUUUAAGGUAAUACAUGCAACACUAUGUUUCAGGUAAUAACGUGUUAGAAUAUAUGUGUAAACAACGUUUUAUAAACUGAUAAUGCACAGAAAUAUAUGAACAAACAACACCUUAUUAUUCAAGUUGAAUAUGUAGUUUUCUUGAUAUUUCAAGUUUUAAACAAGAAAAAAUUACAGAAUAUGUUCUGUUAUUAUGGACGAUGUCUAAGAAAAAGCUUAAGAUCUGCUAUUUUUUCUGGUAAUUAAACAAUAAAGGCCUACGUAGGAUUUAUAUAGACAGAUGGCCCCCAAUUUUUGAAAAAUAAUAAGAUCGAUGACAGUAUUGAAAAUCGACAGUUUUCACUAAAAUAAACUUUAAACUACCGAACUGUGUCGUUUUUAAUAAUAACACAUUCUCAGUAUUGAUGUAAAAUGGAUUUAAAAUACGACCGGUACAGGCAUUUUGCGUUAAAAUUGCUGAAUUCGGCCAUUUCAGACUCAAAAUUCGCUUAUUAGCAACCCUUGCUUCAAGUAACAAUUUAUAACAGCUAUUUCAUUUGUUAAUUCUAUUUAAUAUUUUCCUAACCAGAAACUGAAGCAAGGGUUGCUAAUAAAUGAAUUUUUGAAAAAAUGAUAUUAUUUGUCUGGCCUUUCUCACGUAUAAGAGUGGCCUCCCUUGAAGCCAGGUGCUCGUUGCCAGGCAAUAUUAUAGGUGGCGCCGCUGUCAACAUGUGCAUGUGAAAACGAAAGUAGAUUGUUUAUCUAGGAAUUAUUACAACAUUUUACCCUUCUACGUUGAAUUUUUAAGAUAUAAAAGUAUGAAUAUUGAGAUGAUUAUUUAGUUACCUUCAACUGGUCAGUGGCCAAAAGGGAGUAUUUCUGUGUGCCUUGAAGCAUUGAAUGCCCCAAAACAACCAGUAUGAUAAGAAGGUAUACUAUCUAGGUUGAAAACAGCCACAGACAAUGAUUUUGGAGGUGCAUGCUGGAGCAUCAGAAAUUACAUACUUGGAAUGAAUAAUUGCACAAUACACAUUUACUGAGAAGUGACUAAUGUUUAUGUUAAAGUGCAAUAUCCAUAUUUGUAACAUUUACUUGGGGGUAAUAGUUACAGUGUUGAAAGAGACUACCAGUGUUACAUUUCAAUCUAAGUUACAGUGUGGGUGCUAAUUCUAAAUUCUUGAUAAUCAAGUGUUUUUAAUAACUUAUGAAUACUAAUUAUUUAUCAAACUGUUUAAUUUAUCACAUUCCUACAUCAUUAUUUUAUAUAAAAUGCUUGUAGUUAUAUAAUAUAUGUCAGGUUAAAUGGUAAUAAAUUUUGUUUCUGUGUAAAUAUCUUGCUUUUUGAAAAAUGAAAAUGAUACAUUCAGUGGCCAUCAUCUGUCAAAAAGUUAUUAUAAAUGCCUCAAAACUGAUGAAAAGUUAUGCAGUAACUUUUCACAAGUUCAUGGAAUAGCAUACUAUCCAUAACAUUGUAUAGUUUUCCUAACCUGUAUCUGGGGCCAUCAUAAAUUAAUUGCUAGAGUAAAUUUUCUUCACAAGGGAAAGGAAGUUUUUUUUUUAAUUUAUUUUUUAUUUCAGAUAUUUUAUUUUUGCUUUAAUGAGGAUGUAAAGAGAAAAACUGACAUAAUUAUAAUAGUUAUUUUUGUCAAAUGGAUUUGAUUAUAAGCAAUAAUAACUGAAAGUUGAUAAUUUAUAACAUUCUUUAUAGAAAUAUUCCAUAGAUGAUCUUGGAAACUAAAAAUAGUGGAUGAUAAUGGAUGAUAAUCUAAGUGGAUGAUUAUCUAACAAUUAAUAUAGUAUGGCCAUACAAAUAUAAAUCAAUAAAUACUUACUGGCAAUAAUAUUGGUUAAUUAUGAUGUAGCUAUAUGAUAAAUAUAUAUUUUUGAAUGGUGAUUUGUUAUGAGAAAAAAAAGCUGAUAUAUACAGUCUAGAGUCUUCUAGUAAGCUGCAUAAUUAUGACUGGAACUAGCUCCAUAUUUCCUUUCUUUAACUUCAUAAUAAAAUAGCCAAGUAUCACAAUUAUAUGAAUUCUAAUGUCAGUUGUGUAAACAACUGAAAAUGCAUUGCAUUCAUUUUCU